AGCGCGGCCCGCCGCGUCACGUGACGCGCCCUGCCAACAGGUCGCCCCAGGCAGGGCCCGCGUGUCCUAGGGGCGGGGGAGGGGCGGCCCGCUGCGCCCCUCUUUCGCUGCAAGGCCAGGACGCCCCAGUGGCUGAGGCUGAGGCGGUCGGCUGGACAAAAGAGAUGUAUGCUGCCUACUACACUUAGGAAUACUAUUUUGCUCUCCAGCCUAAUGGGCAAGAAUCUCCUUUUGCUACUGAAUGAUACCCUUCUUUGCAAGUGGACCCUGUUGUCCCUUACUCAAGGUGUUCCUGAGACUACAACCUUGACACUGACCAGACAUGGGGCUAAUUCUUCAGGCUCUGAUAAUGAAAACAUGCAACAUGAAAUUUUUACCUGAAUGCUCAGCCUGUCAUCCACUGGACUCCCAAGCUUUUUGUUCUAAACAUUUCAAGAUAGAAAGGGUGCUCUCUCUGGGAAUCAAAGUCUGAAUGGGCCAAAAGAGAGGAGAAGAUGCCGGUCGGUG